rnacentral:piRNA from 1 species
UGAUGGAUGGGGAGUGGCUAAUGGCAG